rnacentral:rRNA from 1 species
UGGGGAAUUUUACGCAAUGGGGGAAACCCUGACGUAGCGACACCGCGUGAGCGAAGAAGCCUUUUGGGGUGUAAAGCUCUGUCAGCUGGAACGAACACAAUGACGGUACCAGCAGAGGAAGCAUCGGCUAACUACGUGCCAGCAGCCGCGGUAAGACGUAGGAUGCAAGCGUUGUCCGGAUUCAUUGGGCGUAAAGAGUUCGUAGGUGGUCUGUUAAGUUUGGUGUUAAAGAGCGGGGCCCAACCCCGAUAGUGCACUGAAUACUGGCAGACUUGAGUGCGGUAGAGGUAAGUGGAAUUCCAAGUGUAGCGGUGAAAUGCAUAGAUAUUUGGAAGAACACCGGCGGCGUAAGCGACUUACUGGGCCGUAACUGACACUGAGGAACGAAAGCCGGGGUAGCGAAUG